rnacentral:rRNA from 1 species
AUCCGCAAUGCACUAGAAUUUUAAUUUGAUCAUGGCUCAGAUUGACACGCUGGCGUGCAGGCCUAACACAUGCAAGUCGAGCGGAUGAGGGAGCUUGCUCCCGGAUUCAGCGGCGGACGGGUGAGUAAUGCCUAGGAAUCUGCCUGGUAGUGGGGGACAACGUUCGAAAGGAACGCUAAUACCGCAUACGUCCUACGNGGAGAAAGCAGGGGACCUUCGGUGCCUUGCGCUAUCAGAUGAGCCAUAGAGUCGGAUUAGCUAGUUGGUGAGGUAACUGGCUCAACCAACNGCAGACCGAUCCGUAACUGGUACUAGAAGAAGUGAUU